AUUGAACGCUGGCGGCAGGCCUAACACAUGCAAGUCGAACGAGUGGCGGACGGGUGAGUAAUGUUUGGGAAACUGCCUGAUGGAGGGGGAUAACUACUGGAAACGGUAGCUAAUACCGCAUACCAUCAGAUGCGCCCAGAUGGGAUUAGCUGGUUGGUGGGGUAACGGCUCACCAAGUCGACGAUCCCUAGCUGGUCUGAGAGGAUGACCAGCAACACUGGAACUGAGACACGGUCCAGACUCCUACGGGAGGAAGCAGUGGGGAAUAUUGCGCAAUGGGGGCAAGCCGGAUGCAGCCAUGCCGCGUGAAUGAAGAAGGCCUUCGGGUUGUAAAGUUCUUUCGGCGGGGAGGCGUUACCUGCAGAAGAAGCACCGGCUAACUCCGUGCCAGCAGCCGCGGUAAUAC
rnacentral:rRNA from 1 species